rnacentral:rRNA from 1 species
CAGUAGCCGCGGUAACACAGAGGGUGCGAGCGUUAAUCGGAUUUACUGGGCGUAAAGCGUGCGUAGGCGGCUUUUUAAGUCGGAUGUGAAAUCCCUGAGCUUAACUUAGGAAUUGCAUUCGAUACUGGGAAGCUAGAGUAUGGGAGAGGAUGGUAGAAUUCCAGGUGUAGCGGUGAAAUGCGUAGAGAUCUGGAGGAAUACCGAUGGCGAAGGCAGCCAUCUGGCCUAAUACUGACGCUGAGGUACGAAAGCAUGUGGAGCAAACAGGAUUAGAUACCCCAGUAGUCCCUGUCUCUUAUAC